rnacentral:rRNA from 1 species
GAUGAACGCUGACAGCAUGCUUAACACAUGCAAGUCUUUGGCGACGCUGUGCUUGCACAGCCUAGCCAUGGCGGACGGGUGAGUAACGCGUAAUGAACUUGCCCUGCAGUCAGGGAUUACAGACGGAAACGACUGAUAAGCCCUGGUCAAAUGAGUCGGCCUCCUGUCCUGCCUGCUGAAAAGAGAUGCUGCAGGAGAGCCUUGCGUCCUAUUAGCUUGUUGGUGGGGUAACGGGCCACCAAGAUGAUCAUAGGCAGCCGGCCUGAGAGGGUGGACGGACACAAGGGGACUGAGAGACGGGCCUUACUCCUACGGGAGGCAGCAGUGGGGAAUAUUGGAGAAUGGGGGCAACCCUGAUCCAGCGAUUCGGUGUGCAAGAUGAAGGUUUUCGGAUGGUAAAGUGCUUUCAGAAGGGAAGAAAAAAUGACGGUACCUGCAGAAGAAGCGACGGCUAAAUACGUG